CCCGCCUGGUGGGCAGUAGGCUCCGGUGGCCCCAACCCGGGCCCCCCCACUUCUGUUUUCCUGCCCACCGAUGCCUGGGCUGCAGUGCCGCCAUUGUGCAUAGUCACCGCCCAGCUCAGGGCAGAGGGCUUUUCGUGGUGGCGGGCGCUUCCGGAAGGCGCUGUCCUGAGAGCUGCGGAGAUGGCUGGCGGCUGAGGCGGGGCGAGCCAGGGGAGGCUCUGCUUGGGCCCCCCACCCCCAGAAGCGAGAACCGGCACUCCCCAGCUCACGAGCGCCAGGAAAGAGCUGGAGGGAGCUAAUCGUGGAAUGUUGUUACUGAUGAGUGCGGUGGGAUGUAAAACGAAGAAUGUGUGUUUUUUCAGACUGUUUGAUGUUAAAGGUUGCAAUCGAGUUUGGGAAGGCAGGGACGUUGGGGAAGAGGCAUGGGGGAGAUGCCGUAAAUUUUGCUCAGAACAGGAAAAAGAGCAGCAUGAUGGCGGAGCCGAUAAUGGGAGAGAAAGAAAGUCUAUUUCCUGUUCAGGACAAUCAGCCUCGGCGGCAGCGCACGAGAAAACAGAGUCGAGAAGCAGGACCGCUGUGAUAAGAGCACCAGGCGGCGGGGGCAGGCGUCACGCCCGCCCGAAGGACGUGCACGGAGGACCGCGAGCAGGCGUGAGCGUUUGCAGAACGCCUCGGGCCAGGUGCUCCGAGACCGACCUCGACUUGACCAUGGUCCCAGGUAUGAGGUUUUUAGACUCCGUUCCAGCUAACUUCUGCCCAGCUGCCCAGCCCCAAGCCCAACGGGCCCACACGGAGCCCUUCUCUUUUCGGAGCGGAAGUUCUUGCCUUGGUCACCGGCCUCCGUCAGCACCCUCCCCCAGGCCUUCCCCGCCGCGGCCUCAUCUCACCGUGGACGUGUAGGCCUCUCCCCUCACGGCUCACACCGCUGUUGGUUCUGAGUAACGGGGGGGGGGGGACCGGUCCACAGUGUGAAGAGUGAACCAGGUCCAUUUUCUUCAGCGCAGCAAACUCUCGCCCCCGGUGGGCUGUGAUCAGGGGCCGGCUUUGAUCCAGGACGGAGGCGGACACGAUGUAGCUCUGGCCUCCCGGGCUGGGUCGGCAGGGGAGGGGUGCGGCUGGUGUGCAGUGUGAGGACCGGCGCUCCACUGGCCUCCCUCCGGCCUCCGUGACGUCACCCGGCUCCCGGGUAGCUGGCCCACCGGAAUGCUCUUUCGCUUUUGGCUACUCCUUUGAGCGACAUUAACAGUGUCCCCAAACCGCAUUGCCAACCCCAAUAUCCUAUUCAACUUUUCCAGGGACUAGGGCCUGAGGCAAAUUAUAACCCAUGUGAGCACUUUCUGUUUUUUAAGGUAGGUCUGACCUUCCCAAGGGGAGUCGGGAAGGACAGAGAACACAGAGCGGAGCCACGGACACGUGGGGAGCUGCCCUCCUCGCCAGACGGCCGGCACUCUGGGUGCCGCCCGGAAACAUCUGGCCGGGCCGACAGCAGUCCCAGAAUCGCCCAGAGAAAGGUCGACUGGGAAGUGCACCCACUGCAUAAAUGUGGCGAAAACCAAGAGCCCUGCGAGUGCGGAGAACACUCCAGGCGCAUUGCCUCCUGCCUGGGGCGGACGCUCUGUGGCUCCACUGUCCUGGCGGGAGUCAGAACGGGUGGCCUGCCCCAGCCUGCGGCCACACUGCUAAGCUCCAGGCGCAGAGCAAGCACUCGGGGUCUCUGCCUUGGCGGGCAGCUGGUGGGUGAGCGCGCGCCCCGUCACCCCGCCUUCCUGUGGGCCACAACAUGGGACACGGCCUGACAGCACUUGGCACCGUGGGUAAUUGGGAAGAUGACCUUGAAGUAUGAGUGGGAAGGGGAUCCAGGGUGAGGGCGUGGUUUCGUGGUGGCUUCUGUGAGCCAGGCCGUUCGUGGGGGGGGGGGGCAGCAGGAGACACGCGGGCAGUGGAGAAGCUUGGGCCAGUCUGGCCGCAGCCAUGAAGGAGGUUGGCCCAAGGUGGGUCUGGGUGGGAGGAAAUCACUGGCCAAAGGACAUGAGCCAGGGUCUCCCUGGCUGGGCUGUCAUGUGGUGGUCACCCUGGCAUGGGGCCUGGGGACCAUGCUGCCCCCCUUGAACAGGACCAGGGGACCACACCGGGUCACUUGCACAGGGCCUGGGGAUCGUGCUGGGUCACCUCGGCACGGAGGUCUGGGGACUGGUCCGAAGGGCCCACUAUUGUGCAUCCCUGUCCCAGGAAGGGGAAGGAAGUCACUGUCCAUUGUCACAAAGAAGCCAGUGACGUCUUCAAAACUCAUUCCUAGUUAACAUGGUGGUUGGCUAAAAUGAAAUGCAACCAGAAAACACACAGACGUGGGGGUGCAUCUGCCGUGGGCCCUGGUAGCGCGGUGCCCCCUCCCCACCCCAGGACCACAGACAUGGCCCGGCAGGGCUAAGGGCCGCAGGGACAGAGCACAGCCAGCGCGGGUUGACUGUGUGUAGGGGGCAUGUCACCCCCUGUAGGGUGAGUGUCCUGGGCCUGGGACCCCCGCCCCACACUGCCCGCUGCCCGACGGGGUGGUGUGGCCUCCGCCGCACAUGUCUGCGUUCACGCCAGUGUGCAGGACUGGAGACCGCUCAGCAGGAGGGCAGCAGGCACUCUGCCCUGAGUGCACAUGAAACCUUCCUGGGCACGGGAUUGGAGAUGUGUGCCUGCUGCCUCCCAUCGAGGGGCACGCCUCCCCUCCGGUGGUCGGCAUGUCUGUUGGUCUGUCUCUUGUCUGCCCCCUCACCACGCAGAGUGUGUGCAGGCGAGCAGACUUGCUGACGAGGAGGGGAUCUGGGUGGGGCCCCCGCAGGCCACUGAGGCUUCCCUGUGGUCUCCUCCUCUGCCUCCUCCUCACCCCCCCCCCACCUUGGCUCUCCUGCAGGGUGUGGAGCCCCUCAGGCAGCCCUCUGCCCUGCCCCUCUGGUGGCCUCUUCCUUGGGUCACACAGGCUGCUCUCGUCGCAGGGGAUGCUGGGCCCCCAGCGGUCUCCUUCGCCCCGGAUGUCCCCGCCCUGGGAAGGGCCAGCAGCUUCCGGGUGUGUGGUGUGUGUGGGGCCGUGACCAGCAGGCUGGGGAGAUGCAGGACCAGGCCUGGGUCAGGGGAAGGAGAGCUCGUGGCUCUGCGGAAAGGUGACGGCUGGAGCGUGGCGCUCGGCGUGGGAACCUGUGGGCCAUCCAGGUGGGGGGAUGUGAUGGCAGGAGGCUGGUGGCACGGGGACAUUCUGUGACGAGCUUGCUGAAGGGGUGUGCAGGCCUCCACAGGGCCACUCCAGCGGACUUUGUCAGACGGCACGGAGGUUUCACAGGCUCCAAGUCCCUGACUGUAUGUACCAUCUGCAAAAUUAAGUUCCACGGGUAAAGACCAUAGCAGAGAAAACCAGAGUUCAAAAGCAGGAGAAUAUUUUCAUAAUCUUGGGGGAGGGAGGCCUUCCCGGGUGGCACAGGGAAGCCAGGUAGCAGAGAGGACACGCAGGUGAACGAGAGGAGCAGCCACGGAACGAAGCCAGUGUGGACCGAGUGGACGCACCUCUGCUAACAGCAGGAGAAAGGUGCUUCCCACACCGUAGGAGGAAAAUGCGUGUGACCAACAGGAAACGACCAAUAAAUUCCAACGAUUUAUAAAGCAGAGAUGCAAAUGACUCCUAACUGUUUGCAAAUAGCUGCAUCCCCCGGGAGACCGGGAGACUGCUGUGGAGAACCCAGGUUGCCUCUGGGGCCCAGCUGCAGUCUCAGACUAGCCACAAGGGGAGCCACUUCUCGCAAAUCCUCAGAAGAUGGCACGUCGCAUGGAACAGGCAUUCGUUUCGCAGCCCUGACUGAAUUUGAAUCGCACACGUUCUGUGGCUCCUCUGCCCCUUCUCACCGUGGGCCCCGCAGGACCCUGGACAGGUGCCCCCGUGCAGGGGAGAAACUCCCCCCGGGGCCAGCCCUGCUCCGAGCUCGGUGUGUGCGGGGCACGGCACUCGGGUGACAGUAUGCGUCUGUCUGUGGGCUUCCAGGGCCUCUGAACCGACUCCAAAAUUAAUCAGAAAGAAUAAAUACACCCAAAUGUUUGAGUACAUCAUGAAUAUAUAGUUCCAAGCUUGUAAAAAUACAUAGUAUACAUUUAAUAUA